GACGAACGCUGGCGGCGUGCUUAACACAUGCAAGUCGAACGAAGAGCGACGGAAGCUUGCUUCUCUCAAUCUUAGUGGCGGACGGGUGAGUAACGCGUAAUCAACCUGCCCUUCAGAGGGGGACAACAGUUGGAAACGACUGCUAAUACCGCAUACGAUCUAAUCUCGGCAUCGAGGAUGGAUGAAAGGUGGCCUCUACAUGUAAGCUAUCACUGCAGGAGGGGAUUGCGUCUGAUUAGCUAGUUGGAGGGGUAACGGCCCACCAAGGCGAUGAUCAGUAGCCGGUCUGAGAGGAUGAACGGCCACAUUGGGACUGAGACACGGCCCAGACUCCUAAGGGAGGCAGCAGUGGGGAAUCUUCCGCAAUGGACGAAAGUCUGACGGAGCAACGCCGCGUGAGUGAUGACGGCCGUCGGGUUGGAAAGCUCUGUUAAUCGGGACGAAAGGCCUUCUUGCGAAUAGUGAGAAGGAUUGACGGUACCGGAAUAGAAAGCCACGGCUAACUACGUG
rnacentral:rRNA from 1 species